rnacentral:rRNA from 1 species
CCGACGGGUGAGUAACACGUAUGCAAUCCACCUGUAACAGGGGGAUAACCCGGAGAAAUCCGGACUAAUACCCCAUAAUAUGGGCGCUCCGCAUGGAGAGUCCAUUAAAGAGAGCAAUCUUGGUUACAGACGAGCAUGCGCUCCAUUAGCCAGUUGGCGGGGUAACGGCCCACCAAAGCGACGAUGGAUAGGGGUUCUGAGAGGAAGGUCCCCCACAUUGGAACUGAGACACGGUCCAA